rnacentral:rRNA from 1 species
UCCGUAGGCGGGCAGCUAAGUCAGUGGUGAAAGUCUGCAGCUCAACUGUAGAAUUACCAUUGAUACUGGUUGUCUUGAAUUAUUAUGAAGUGGUUAGAAUAUGUAGUGUAGCGGUGAAAUGCAUAGAUAUUACAUAGAAUACCAAUUGCGAAGGCAGAUCACUAAUAAUAUAUUGACGCUGAUGGACGAAAGCGUGGGGAGCGAACAGGAUUAGAUACCCUGGUAGUCC